GGGGUUAUAGCUCAGUAGUAGAGUGCACGCUCAGCACAUUCAAGGUCCUGGGUUCAAACCCCAGUACCUCCA
rnacentral:tRNA from 1 species